UCCCUCGUCUAUUCCGGAGGAGAUAGAAGUAUUUGCGUAAUACGAUGCGGAGGUUUAAAUCCCCGCGAGGCGU
rnacentral:tRNA from 1 species